CGGCGGACGGGUGAGUAACACGUGGAUAACCUACCUAUAAGACUGGGAUAACUUCGGGAAACCGGAGCUAAUACCGGAUAAUAUAUUGAACCGCAUGGUUCAAUAGUGAAAGACGGUUUUGCUGUUACUUAUAGAUGGAUCCGCGCCGCAUUAGCUAGUUGGUAAGGUAACGGCUUACCAAGGCAACGAUGCGUAGCCGACCUGAGAGGGUGAUCGGCCACACUGGAACUGAGACACGGUCCAGACUCCUACGGGAGGCAGCAGGC
rnacentral:rRNA from 1 species